rnacentral:tRNA from 1 species
GGGCGGUUAGCUCAGCGGUAGAGCAUCGCCUUCACACGGCGAGGGUCGCAGGUUCGAAACCUGCACCGCCCACCA